rnacentral:Y_RNA from 1 species
GGCUGGUCCAAGUGCAGUGGUGUUUACAACUAAUUGAUCACAACCAGUUACAGAUUUCUUUGUUCCUUCUCCACUCCCACUGCUUCACUUGAUUAGCCAAAA